AAACAAUACCAUAUGGAUGCGAAGGACAUCUUAGGAUUGCCUAAAAAUGGACCUUUAAUGUCCCAAGAGAAGAAAUCGAGGCCUCAGAAAGAGUCUCAAAGGAAACCUGAUGGCAUUUCGCGAGAAGUUUAUGCACUUACAGGUGGUAUUGCACCUCUUAUGCCUUCUAUUGAUAUAAAUCAGCUGAAAAAGCGAGCUCUUUCGGAGUCCGAAAAGAUUACGUGGCAAUGGCUUCCAUUCACAAGUUCUGCUAGAAAAGAUAACUUACAGCUUUAUCAUUGGGUCAGAGUUGUUAAUGGUGUUCCGCCUACAG
rnacentral:misc_RNA from 1 species